UACGUAGGGUGCAAGCGUUGUCCGGAAUUAUUGGGCGUAAAGAGCUCGUAGGCGGUCUGUCGCGUCUGCUGUGAAAACUCAGGGCUUAACCCUGAGCUUGCAGUGGGUACGGGCAGACUAGAGUGCGGUAGGGGAGACUGGAAUUCCUGGUGUAGCGGUGAAAUGCGCAGAUAUCAGGAAGAACACCUAUGGCGAAGGCAGCUCUCUGGGACGGUACUGACGCUGAGACGCGAAAGCGUGGGGAGCGAACAGG
rnacentral:rRNA from 1 species